UACGAAGGGGGCUAGCGUUGUUCGGAUUUACUGGGCGUAAAGCGCACGCAGGCGGUUUGAUCAGUCAGAAGUGAAAGCCCCGGGCUCAACCUGGGAACUGCUUUUGAUACUGUCAAACUAGAAUCACGGAGAGGGUAGUGGAAUUCCGAGUGUAGAGGUGAAAUUCGUAGAUAUUCGGAAGAACACCAGUGGCGAAGGCGACUACCUGGCCGUCGAUUGACGCUCAUGUGCGAAAGCGUGGGGAGCAAACAGG
rnacentral:rRNA from 1 species